rnacentral:SRP_RNA from 1 species
GCCGGGCACGGUGGCGCAUGCCUGUAGUCCCAGCUACUCAGGCGGUUGAGGGGAGGACUGCUUGAGCCCAGGAGUUCUGGGCUGUAGUGCGCUAUGCCGACCGGGUGUCCGCACUAAGUUCGGCAUCAAUAUGGUGAACUCCCAGGAGCGGGGGACCACCAGGUUGCCUAAGGAGGGGUGAAUCGGCCCAGGUCGGAAAUGGGGCAGGUCAAAACUCCCGUGCUGGUCAGUAGUGGGAUCGAGCCUGUGAAUAGCCACUGCACUCCAGCCUGGGUAACAUAGCGAGACCCUGUCUCA